rnacentral:rRNA from 1 species
GAGCGGCGGACGGGUGAGUAACGCGUAGGAAUCUACCUAGUAGAAGGGGAUAGCCCGGGGAAACCCGGAUUAAUACCGUAUACCUCCUUCGGGAGAAAGAAGGCCUCUCUUUGAAGCUUUCGCUAUUAGAUGAGCCUGCGUAAGAUUAGCUUGUUGGUGAGGUAAAGGCUCACCAAGGCAACGAUCUUUAGCUGGUCUGAGAGGACGAUCAGCCACAUUGGGACUGAGACACGGCCCAGACUCCUACGGGAGGCAGCAGUGGGGAAUAUUGGACAAUGGGCGCAAGCCUGAUCCAGCCAUACCGCGUGUGUGAAGAAGGCCUUCGGGUUGUAAAGCACUUUAAGCAGGGAGAAAAAGUUAUAAGUUAAUACCUUAUGACCUUGAUGUUACCUGCAGAAUAAGCACCGGCUAAUUCCGUGCCAGCAGCCGCGGUAAUACGGAAGGUGCAAGCGUUAAUCGGAAUUACUGGGCGUAAAGCGCGCGUAGGUGGUUUGUUAAGUUGGAUGUGAAAGCCCUGGGCUCAACCUAGGAACUGCAUCCAAAACUAACUCACUUGAGUACGAUAGAGGGAGGUAGAAUUCAUAGUGUAGCGGUGGAAUGCGUAGAUAUUAUGAAGAAUACCGGUGGCGAAGGCGGCCUCCUGGAUCUGUACUGACACUGAGGUGCGAAAGCGUGGGUAGCGAACAGGAUUAGAUACCCUGGUAGUCCACGCCGUAAACGAUGACAACUAGCUGUUGGGAGACAAUGUCUUUCAGUGGCGCAGCUA